AAAAUGGCGGAGGUUGGGAGUCCCUGCUUUGACUCUGUUUGCAAACUCUUGUUUCAUUGUUUAAGCGAUUAAAUCUCUCGAGUAGACACUGUCUCUUUAGAUGCGAGGGCAAAAUAGCACUUUAUGGACUUCCACAGAGGACAUCAUGUUUAAUACGGUUCCGGAAAAAUCCAGUCAGAAGUUGUUCACGGAGUUUUCACAAUAACUGCUUCUCAUGAACCGAAGCUGGAUUUGCGCGACGUCUCCUCUUGAAAGUUGGAUUACUGUGCACUUCUGGAUCACAGACUAUUCGCAGCUGUACACAUCCUUCUACACUGUAUGCAAACAUGCAACAUCAUAAAACACAGUACAAGGAGUCAGACUGGCAUAUGAGGAGCAAAGGAACCCAGGCAGUAGCAUCGUUUCACAAUGUUUCCAUCACCAUCAUCAGUGGAUGCCUUUGCCGUCCGUAGCCUGAGAUUUCAGAUUUGCAGCAAAAAAAAUUGAUUUUCUCAUUUAUUGGAAUGCUGUGCAGGUAUUUGUACCUUGCAGCCAUCCAAUACAAUGUCACCAAGCCGUAACAAAAGCAGGAGAGGGAAAGUACAAGGCUAUGUUCCCAAAACACAAAUGACAUACCUUAUGUGGAGGAUGUGAUCAGGCUUGUGUUUGAUGAGGUAUGAAGAUAAGCUGAAGGAAACCCCGAUUCCAAUGGACCUGGCAUCACAGUUUGAGAGACCUUCAAAGGAGGACGUGAUUGCAUGCCAUCUUCAGUGCAGG